UAGCCGUAAAACGAUACUCGCUAGGUGUCGGCCACGGUGCGACCGUUGUCGGUGCCGUAGGGAAGCCGUGAAGCGAGCCACCUGGGAAGUACGGCCGCAAGGCUGAACUUAAAGGAUUGGCGGGGGAGCACAACAACGGGUUGGAGCUUGCGGUUUAAUUGGAUUCAACGCCGGAAAUCUUACCGGGACCGACAGCAACAUGAAGGCCAAGCUGAAGACUUUGCCGGAUUAGCUGAGAGGAGGUGCAUGGCGUAGUCGUGU
rnacentral:rRNA from 1 species